CUAACUCCGUGCCAGAGCCGCGGUAAUACGGAGGGGGUUAGCGUUGUUCGGAAUUACUGGGCGUAAAGCGCGCGUAGGCGGAUUAGAAAGUUGGGGGUGAAAUCCCGGGGCUCAACCUCGGAACUGCCUCCAAAACUGCUAGUCUAGAGUUCGAGAGAGGUGAGUGGAAUUCCGAGUGUAGAGGUGAAAUUCGUAGAUAUUCGGAGGAACACCAGUGGCGAAGGCGGCUCACUGGCUCGAUACUGACGCUGAGGUGCGAAAGUGUGGGGAGCAAACAGGAUUAGAUACCCUGGUAGUCCACACCGUAAACGAUGAAUGCCAGUCGUCGGGUAGUAUACUAUUCGGUGACACACCUAACGGAUUAAGCAUUCCGCCUGGGGAGUACGGUCG
rnacentral:rRNA from 1 species